GAUGAACGCUGGCGGCGUGCCUAAUACAUGCAAGUCGAGCGAAGCGGGGACGGGUGAGUAACACGUGGAUAACCUCCUAUAAGUCUGGGAUAACUUCGGGAAACCGGAGCUAAACCGGAUACUUAUAGAUGGCUCCGCGCUGCAUUAGCUAGUUGUUAAGGUAAAGGCUUACCAAGGCUACGAUGCGUAGCCGAACUGAGAGGGAGAGUGGCCGGACUGGAACGGAGACACGGUACAGAGGCCUACGGGAGGCAGCAGUAGGGAUACUGCCGCAAGGGGCGAAAGCCUGACGGAGAAACGCGGCGUGAGUGAGGAAGGUCGUCGGGUCGUAAAACACUGUUAUGAGGGAAUCGGUAACUAAUAAGAAAGCCACGGCUAAAUACGGGCCAGCAGCCGCGGUAAUAC
rnacentral:rRNA from 1 species